AACGUCAUUUGGGAAAUUGACAGCACUUGAAUCAUUAGAUCUCUCAUUUAACAAGCUGAGUGGCAGAAUCCCUUCCGAAUUGACAAAUUUGACAUUUCUUGAAGUGUUAAGGCUUUCAAACAAUAAUCUUGUCGGACCCAUUCCCAGUGGCAAGCAAUUUGAUACAUUUGAAGACGACUCUUAUCUUGGGAACUUGGGUUUGUGUGGACUCCCAUUACCGAAGGAAUGUAACAAUGAUGAAAUACCAGAACCAGCGCAAGAUGAAAAAGAUCAUGGAAAUGGACUUGCUUUUAUUUGGAAACUUGCAAUGAUGGGGUAUGGAUGUGGAAUGGUGUUAGGGAUUAGCAUGGCAUAUAUUGUAUUCACGACUGGAAGACCAUGGUGGCUUGUAAGGAUGAUUGAGAGAGACUUGCGAAACAAAGUUUCAAGUUGGUUUGGGAAGAAAAGAAAGUAGUCCUGCAAAUCCUUCUUCAUAUGAAUGAGUCCGAGAAAAGAUGAAGUAUGUUCUGCAUCCAUAGCUGCUUCUCUCCAUGGAAUAUAUGUUCUGCUAAUGGGUGUUCUUACAGAUAGUUUGCUUUGGUUUUUCAGCUUUCAUAGUAUGGGAUUUUAACAUUUAGCAAGAAGUUGAUUUGUUUUCAAGUUCAGAAAUAAAUUGCAAAACCCACUCUAAUUACUUCUUUAUUUUAAACAAGUGUUUGUGUGCUAAAUUUUAGCUAA